CGGUAACUCUCAGCUCCAAUAGCGUAUACUAAAGUUGUUGCAGUUAAAAAGCUCGUAGUUGGAUUUCUGCGGGGACGGAGCGGCCGGACGCAACUUGCGUCUCGAGCUAGCGCUUUCCCCGCAUCCUGCCGCGAACCGUGCUACCAUUAGUUUGGUGGCGCCGGGGAUCGGCUCGAUUACUUCGAGAAAAAUAGAGUGUUCAAAGCAGGCCACACGCCUUGAAUAAGUUAGCAUGGAAUAAUGACUAAGGACUUUGGUUCUUUUCGUUGGUGUUCGGGACUGAAGUAAUGAUUGAUAGGGACAGUUGGGGCGGUCCGUAUUCCAAAGCGAGAGGUGAAAUUCUUAGACCUUCGGAAGACGAACAGCUGCGAAAGCGUUCCGCAAGGAUGUUCCCUUUGAUCAAGAACGAAAGUUGGGGGAUCGAAGACGAUCAGAUACCGUCGUAGUCUCAACUAUAAACUAUACCAGCUAGGGAUCGGCCAACGUUUAACUUUAUCGACUUGGUCGGCACCUUAUGAGAAAUCAAAGCAUCUGGUUCCGGGGGGAGUAUGGUCGCAAGGCUGAAACUUAAAGGAAUUGACGGAAGGGCACCACCAGCCGUGAGCCUGUGGCUUAAUUUGACUCAACACGGGAAAACUUACCAGGUCCAGACAUAGGAAGGACUGACAGAUUGAUAGCUCUUUCUUGAUUCUGUGGGUGGUGGUGCAUGGCCGUUCUUAGUCGGUGGAUGUGAUCUGUCUGCUUAAUUGCGUUAACGGACGAGACCCCAGCCUGCUAAAUAGCGCGGCCGAGCUUUGCUCGGUGCGAGCUUCUUAGAGGGACCAUGAUGCGCGAUAGCACAAGGAAGUUUGGGGCAAUAACAGGUCUGUGAUGCCCUUAGAUGUUCUGGGCCGUACACGGGCUACACUGGCGCCUGCAACGAGCAUAUCAGCUGGCCCGAGAGGGUCUUGGCUAAUCUUUGGAACCGGCGCCGUGCUUGGGAUUGACCAUUGCAAUUGUUGGUCAUGCAACGAGGAAUGCCUUGUAAACGCGAGUCAUCAGCUCGCAUUGAAUACGUCCCUGCCCUUUGUACACACCGCCCGUCGCUCCUACCGAUGAAUGUUCCGAUGAAAUUUUCGGAGAGCACCAGAGAACGGGGCUCCGCCUUGCAGAACUGGAGGCUCAAAGUCACUUAAAUCUGAACAUUUCGAGGAAGGAGAAGUCGUAACAAGGUAACC
rnacentral:rRNA from 1 species